rnacentral:rRNA from 1 species
AUUGAACGCUGGCGGCAUGCCUUACACAUGCAAGCCGAACGGCAGCACGGGAGCAAUCCUGGUGGCGAGUGGCGAACGGGUGAGUAAUGUAUCGGAACGUGCCUAGUCGUGGGGGAUAACGUAGCGAAAGCUACGCUAAUACCGCAUACGAUCUGUGGAUGAAAGCGGGGGACCUUCGGGGCCUCGCGCGAUUAGAGCGGCCGAUAUCAGAUUAGCUAGUUGGUAGGGUAAAGGCCUACCAAGGCGACGAUCUGUAGCGGGUCUGAGAGGAUGAUCAGCCACACUGGGACUGAGACACGGCCCAGACUCCUACGGAGGCAGCAGUGGGGAUAUUGGACAAAUGGGCGAAAGGCCUGAGUCCAGCAAUGCCGCGUGAGUGAUGAAGGCCUUAGGGUUGUAAACUGCUUUU